ensembl:lncRNA
GGUAAGGCCGCUGGGCUAGGGUGGAGGUGGAAAGUGGCAAGUGGAGCCCUACCUUCUGGCUGAGGACAAGGAAUGCUGCUAUUUAAGCUUCUUGAGAGAUGACUCAGUAUGCAAAUUAGCUGGAGUGUGUGUGUGACUGUGACUUUCAGGAAGAGGAAGCAUAGCAGAGACGAGAAGUGCAGAUUGGGGUAGGGAAUUUAUAGUUUAGUGAUUAUAUGAUGUCGUAAGGGGUCUUAUGCUGAAUUUAAGAGUAUAAGGGGGUGAUUUUUGUGUGCAAAUUGAGUGGUUUUAAUGAGACUUUUGGUGUAUUGAGGAGGUGAAAUUAUGUGGUGGCAAGAUUUGUGUGUUUAAGGUUGUUGUGGUGAUGGGUUGAUUCUGUCAGGUAGGUUGUUGUUGGUGUUUUUGUUUUAAAUAGAGGGAGUUUUAGGAAACAUGGACAUGUCUAAAAUUGGGCCCAUUAUUUUGUAACAGUGCACUUAAAGAAAACCUGUCAGGUGAUUUUGUUUUGUUUUUAUGAGCUAACAAUCAGCUCUAUUUUUCAUUUCUGUUUUAAGCAGGCCUGCAACAGUGAAUAACAGCGCUGAAAAUUCUCGGGAGGAGCAAAUAUAAGGGGGCUUUCCAGAUUACAAUUGGCUGAGGAGAGCUACCUGGGGACAAUUCAGGUCGUAAGUCCCUGUAAAAGGAUUUUAUGCGAGUCAAUCCAGUCCAAAAGCAUAAAGAAAUAUUUUCCUAUGGAAAAUAAAAAAUGACGGAGCUCAUUUUGCUGAGGGUGGAGUAUCUGAUCUUGCGGGAGGCUCCACUAUCAGCAAAUACAUGGUGUGACUGCAUGUGAGUGAAUGUGUGACUGGAUGAAGGUGAGGAUGAAUAAAUGUGGAUAAACAAUUUGUUUUUACCAGAGAAAAUUUCUGUUUUGUUUUAUUAGGUGGGGUUAGAUUAUGAGAUUAUAGUAUAUUGUUGGGAGAAUGCCAAAUGCUAAAGGGGAAAUAUUUUUUGAUGUAACUCAGUUACCAUUAAUUGUAGAAACACAUGACUGAUAACUGUUCUGUUUUAAGUUUAUUUUUAUGACACAGAUUGGAUCAUGAGUGGGGAAAACUGAGCAGUUUUAAGUUUUGUAUAGUAUCUUGACACAUGAAAUGUAUCAAGAUAAAGGGGGGUUUAGGGUUUAAUAAUUUAAU